GGCUCAGGACGAACGCUGGCGGCGUGCUUAACACAUGCAAGUCGAACGGAAAGGCCCUUCGGGGUACUCGAGUGGCGAACGGGUGAGUAACACGUGGGUGAUCUGCCCUGCACUUUGGGAUAAGCCUGGGAAACUGGGUCUAAUACCGAAUACACCCUGCUGGUCGCAUGGCCUGGUGGGGGAAAGCUUUUGCGGUGUGGGAUGGGCCCGCGGCCUAUCAGCUUGUUGGUGAGGUUACGGCUCACCAAGGCGACGACGGGUAGCCGGCCUGAGAGGGUGACCGGCCACACUGGGACUGAGAUACGGCCCAGACUCCUACGGGAGGCAGCAGUGGGGAAUAUUGCACAAUGGGCGCAAGCCUGAUGCAGCGACGCCGCGUGAGGGAUGACGGCCUUCGGGUUGUAAACCUCUUUCGCCAGGGACGAAGCGCAAGUGACGGUACCUGGAGAAGAAGGACCGGCCAACUACGUGCCAGCAGCCGCGGUAAUACGUAGGGUCCGAGCGUUGUCCGGAAUUACUGGGCGUAAAGAGCUCGUAGGUGGUUUGUCGCGUUGUUCGUGAAAACUCACAGCUUAACUGUGGGCGUGCGGGCGAUACGGGCAGACUAGAGUACUGCAGGGGAGACUGGAAUUCCUGGUGUAGCGGUGGAAUGCGCAGAUAUCAGGAGGAACACCGGUGGCGAAGGCGGGUCUCUGGGCAGUAACUGACGCUGAGGAGCGAAAGCGUGGGGAGCGAACAGGAUUAGAUACCCUGGUAGUCCACGCCGUAAACGGUGGGUACUAGGUGUGGGUUUCCUUCCUUGGGAUCCGUGCCGUAGCUAACGCAUU
rnacentral:rRNA from 1 species